rnacentral:rRNA from 1 species
UACGGAGGGAGCUAGCGUUGUUCGGAAUUACUGGGCGUAAAGCGCACGUAGGCGGCUUUGUAAGUAAGAGGUGAAAGCCUGGAGCUCAACUCCAGAAUAGCCUUUUAGACUGCAUCGCUUGAAUCCGGGAGAGGUGAGUGGAAUUCCGAGUGUAGAGGUGAAAUUCGUAGAUAUUCGGAAGAACACCAGUGGCGAAGGCGGCUCACUGGACCGGUAUUGACGCUGAGGUGCGAAAGCUAGGGGAGCAAACGGG